CAUUUAUUUAUUAAUUUUUUAUUUCUAUAUUUAUUUACGAGUAUUAACCGGUUUAAUAAUUUUGUUUUUAUUUUAUUAUUUUAUUAAAAACAAAUAAAUAAAAAUAUAUCAAAGCCAUAAGGACAACACAUGUAUAAUAUUUAUUUCUUUUUUAUAUUUUUAAUGUAUAUGACAAUAUGAAUAAGUAACACGAUUUAUAAAUAUCAACAUUAUUAUAUGAAAUAUGAAUUAUAGAUACUACAUAGGUAUAAACUAAGAGGGGUCAAAUACAGUUAAACGAACAAUGCCCCCUUAGAUGUGUCCACAGCUUUGAAAUAAUAUAGAGUGUAUUGAGCAUUGCCAUGUCAAUGAACAAUAAGAAAUACAUCAAAUGGGCAGAAAAGUUUUUCAUUCUCGUAACUCUGUAAUCAGUUGAUUGAUUGAACAGCAGUACUUUAUGAUGAACCCAUAGAGCAUCGUUUCUCAACCUUUUUAGUGUCGCGACCCCCAAAAUAGGUAUAAAAUAUUGUCAAUCACUUCGCGACCCCCCCCCCCAUUUCUUCUAGGUUAGGUAAAAAUUUAAACAGUAAAAAUAUCCUAUCAUUAACCCUAACGAAAUAUAACAUUUUAAAUACCAAUUUAUAAAUACCAUAUCUAGUAACUUAAGCUUAUCAAGUUUGUAUCGGGUCGUUAGGAAUUUCCAUUAGUGGAGUAGUGUCCGUUUUAUUGAUGAGAUAUCUACAUUUAAUCGACUGCUUAUUAUUGUUAUUUUUAAUAUUAUUUUUGUGUGUUAUGAAACGAUUAAUUUAUCGAUGACAGUCGCGCGUCGCCCGUGUUGUUAAACUCAUGUGAUAUUGCGUUUAUUAAGUUGGUUUUUAGUGCGUCUUUUUAGUUUUGUGUAAUUUGAAUUAAUGAUUAUGGAUAAAUAUAUAACAAACGUAAUGCUCCGUCUACUUCUGGUGAACCGGCGAAAAAAAAAUUCAGGUCAUAUAACAAUGAGUAUUUGAAGUAUGGGUUUAUUUAACUUGAUAAUAAGCCGCAAUGUGUUGUUUGCUUUCAAGUUCUAUCUCAAGAAAGUAUGAAACCUUCAAAAUUAAUUCGACAUCUGGAAACAAAUCAUCCACUUUUAGUAAAAAAACCAAUUGAUUUUUUUGAGCGUAAAUCACUUUUUUUUAAAAAAUCAACAAACUUGUAUUCUUAAAUCAAGUCAGAAUAAUACCGCAACACUUGAAGCAUCAUAUUUAGUAGCACUUAGGGUAGNGCAAAAGAAGUAAUUAAAAUAUUAAUUAAAUUAAUUAAAAUUAGAAUUUAAAAUAUUUUUUAAAGAUCGAAAUACAACAUUUUUAACUUUUUUCCAAGAUAAUGAGACAUUACUAUUUUUGGCUUAUUUGAG